rnacentral:lncRNA from 1 species
GCCCGCGGGACCCGUCCCCAGGCCGCCCGCCGGGUGCGCCCCGCGCGGGUACCGGGCGAGCCCCAGCGCAGAGAAUGUGCGGCGGCCCUCGGUGUGCACCCGCCCAGCUCCCCCUGACCCCACAUCCUCCUAAAAAUGCGGGGAGGCGGCACGCCCUGCCUCCCCCGACGCCCCCACCCCCACCGAGUGCGCGGCGCUGCGCCCCAACCGAGCCCUGGCGCCACCCCAGUGGCUCUGGAUCCGGACCCCAGCCUGGCUCCCCAGCGCGCAGGUUUGCUGAUUUAUCACCUGGGACGCCUUGCCCAUCCUCAGCUGUGAGAGAUCUACUUGCUCCAGUGCUAUCGACGCCUUGGUGGCCAUGGUGGAGUCGGGGCUCAGACCUCCUCUCCUCUGAAUCCUCUUGAAGAAUCUCCCACCACCUUCUCACUACCUGCAUUGGGAGCUUUUCACGUGUGCACGUUUGUGGAGGACAGGCGCCUUUUCCAGACAGAACCCGCUACCUUUGGAGUCAAAGCUGUUUUCACCAUUUGCGAACUUGAGAACCUAAGUUAUUUAAUCCUUUGAGAUUUGGGUUUUCUCUUCUAUAAAGGGGGGUACUAAAACCUACCUCAGGAUGUUGAUGGGAAGGCUAAUGUAAAAUGCUUGAGGCUGUGGAAACAAAGCUGCUUAUGUGUGAGUGGUCUGUGUGCGUGGGUAUGCGUGUGUGGGUGUGCAUGUGUGUGCAUGGUCUGUGUGUGCGUGGGUGUGCAUGUGUGUGAGCAUGCAUGUGUGUGAG